ensembl:lncRNA
AUGAUGUAAUGGACAUUUUCUGAUAAAAUCAUUUCCAUUAUGGUCGUAUUUCCUUUGGACACACCCUUUGAUGACAAACUCCGUCUUUUGUGAUUGUGACAUAGACAGUAUUAAAUUAGCUUUCAACGUGGGCACAAUGCUGUGCAUUCUUGAUCGGAGGUGGGCGUGGCUUCCCGGCGCAGUCUCAGUUACCUGCAGAGCUCAACGCGGAAGACAACAAGAAGCUCCGGGUUUCUAACUGACGUCGAACAAGCAGAGGCAAGUUACUCGGGAUUCUAUUGGGACACCUGACGUGUUUUUGUCAUUAGGCUCUACCCCAAAACCAUGUGGCCAAACCAAGGUCCUCCCCAUUCAGUGCCUCCACCAAACCCAGCCUUUGCCCCUGGCUACAACCCUGCAUAUCCUCCUGUGCCUCAGGCAGGAGUCUUUCCUCCACAACCAGUAUACCCAGCUGGUCAGUACCAGGCUGGUCAGUACCCAGCUGGUCAGUAUCCAGCUGGUCAGUAUCCAGCUGGUGGGAAUGUCGCCAUGGGACCACAUGGAGCUCCAGGAAUGAUGCCAUAUGGAGCUCCUGGAGCUCACCCGUAUCCCAUGGCUCCAGGUGGAGUUCCAGGGGUCCCACAUGCUGGUGUUUAUCCAGGUCACUACCCACACUCUCCAAAAGGGGGUCACCACAAAGGGGGGCACCACAAAGGGCAUCAUCAUGGAGGAGCCAUGCCAAUGGGUGGAGUAGUAGCGGGUGGGGUUGCAGGAAUGGGAAUUGGGGUGGUUGGACAUAAAGCCAAUAAGAAGAUGAAGAAAAAGAUGAAGAAGGCUCAUAAACAAAAGCAUGGACACAAACAUGGCAAGGUGAGGUUGUGCUUGGGUGAAAGAAUGCUAGUUAAUGUUUGUCUUGUAUGGCGCUUCAUCUCUGCCAUAACGUGAAAGAGCAUAAAGACAACUGAGCGGGCGUAGUCAGAAACUAAGUGAGCGAACCUUACAACCGCGCACGCGCAAUUCCAACCGAGCGACCCCAUAUUUUCAAACUGCACGCCUGCAAUCCUAACUGAGCGGUGAUCCCUCACGGUCAAUUCUCCCUUUGCGCCCUUGCUUGGAUUUGCGCUCAGUGUUGAGGGGGGUGUUUGUUACUUGGGGGGUGGUAUUCAGGGGUACAUUUUGGAGAAAAUGUAAGACUUUUAUGUUCGCCUUAUGGUUUUGAAAGUACUGUAUGUAGAAACUAUGAUAAAAGGCAGAGAGCCGCAUGCAGCUCAAGAGCCGCCUGUUAACCCCCCCUGCUCUGAAAAAUGAUAGUCCUGCCUCGCCGGAUAAGACAUGCAAAUUUCGGCCAAUCAGAUCAACCAGAAAGGUUACUGCCCCCCAAGUGACAAACACCCCCCUGAACACUGAGCGUAAAUCCAAGCAGGGGCGCAAAGGAUUGCAAAGGAUCGCUCAGUUAGGAUUGCAGGCGUACAGUUUUAAAAUACGGGGUCGGUCGGUUGGAAUUGUGCCUGCGCGGUUGUAAGGUUCACUCAGUUCCUGAAUACGCCCGCUCAGUUGUCUUUACACCCUUUCACUUUAUGGCAGAGAUGAAACGCCAUAGUCUUGAACUAGGGUUUCAAAAUACACAAAAAAAAAUUGUUACGGUUAGAUUUAGAAACACAACAAUGGUUUCUGUAAGCACUAAUUCUGAAACAAAGACGUUCACCGCAACAGUAAUUUGCCCUCAUUUCUUUGAAAGUGACACUCGGUACAAAUUUUAAAUUGUGUGGAAAAAAUGCCACCCAGAAGUUACAAAUUAAAAUUUUCUUUUGCCCUGAUAUCAUUUAUACAAGCUGUUAGACAAUUUAAAAAAGUCAAAUUGAAUACCAAAAUAAUUAAACUAGACAAUAGCACUAAGGCUGUUAAAACUAUAUUUAACCCCAUUUCUUAAUACUCACAUAAUAUGUAUUACUUCCUAAUAAGGAUAAUAUUAUUAACAGGAUUGAUCUGUGUCAUUUUUUUUGGUAAUUGCUAAUUUUGGAAACAUGCAUACUACUUAAGGACAUCUGACUAUUUGCAGAAGAUCAAUAUCAAUCAAUAUCAAAAUUGUAUACACCUUAUCAAAUACUGCUUGAAAACACAUUGUGCUGUAUUUUAGCUAAUUUUUGUGUUUUUAAAAUGUAUUCAUUUUGUUUUCCAGUCCUCCAGCAGCAGCAGCAGCAGCAGCAGUAGCAGUGACUAAGCCCGAAGGCCUUCAACUCCACACCCAGCAUCUAAGAAAAGUCUUUCAGAAGUGCAAAUGAUCUAUAACCAAUACACGUAAAAGAGAUAUGUUUUUAGAAUACAAAACAAGUGUUUUAAAGUACUUAAGUAACAAAGCAAAAAAGGCAAGGUCACACCGCUUUUGUGGAUAUCUUAUGAAGUUGAUUAAAUAUAUGUGAUUGUUUUUUGGUCAGUUAGUUUGUGUAAGAAAAAGGCGUGUCUAAAAAAUAUGGAAUAAAGUGCAAGGAUAUUUGUAAGAUGAUAUAUGGAAAAAUGUGUUAAAAUUGCAAUGUGUUAAAGAAUGUGCCCACUUUAAUGUGUCUUUAUUUUCUAUUUCACUUGCAUUAACUUUUGCUUUUGUUUUCCUGUUGCCUCGGAUCUGACCACAAAACUGGUAGUUUAUUGUAGAAAAACCAUAUAAAAUAUAGAAUUUAAUUAAAAGCAAAAAUACUGUCAUUGAAUGUGUAGAAAGGUGGAAGAAAAUCUAAUUUGUGCAUUUAAGUCUGUACUUGUGUUUUAAAAAUUACCUUUGAAAACAUUUGUGGUCAGGAUUACAGAAGGGUGCAUCAAAAUGCACAAGAUCCUUUCUUGUAACUUAAGCUGCAUAAUCAUGUUGAUCUAGUUAUAUAUUUUUAAAGAAUAUAUUUUUUGUUAAUACAUUAGAAGUCUGAUGCACACCAAAAUAAAGCGAUGCAGCGCAUUUUGUUUUAUUUUGAAAAUAGACUAAGUUACCUUUUGUCAGAAAAGUCUAGUGUUACAUUCACUACUCACUAUUCACUACAUUCACUACCACUGCAGCAGAAAAAAUAUUUCAUACCACUUUGAAAGUCGGUUUAAUGUCAAAAUGAUUGUGACUGCAUCUGUUCACUUAACACUAUUUCAUCAAUAAAUAUGUUUAUAUCCACGGUGCCUUCAUGUUUUGAGUAUGACUAUCGGUUUCCUUUAAUUUAUUUUUAAAAAAUAAUUUAUUGCACGGUUUUUGUUUAAAAUUAUGUUUUUCUUGUUAAAAUAAUUAUAUUUUAAAUAACUGCAAGGAAAAGUCUUAGGUUGUUUAAAAUUCGAAGGAAUAAAUGUUGCUUUACUGACCGUCGGAAAACGAACAAUUUUGAUGGGACGUUUGUGAUCUACUGUGUUUUUUCUGAAACCAUCGAAACCUUUUUUUUCUUCUAAUGAUGUGCUUUCUUGUGACCUGCCACGUAAAACAUCAAAUGGUGGAAGAACUGCAGCGAUCCUUUUAGCGAAACAUCCGAUCGGGGUGGGGGUUUGUGAUGGGUGUGAGAGGAAAGUUCAGAGGUUGUAGUUUUGUUGUCUUUGUGUAAAGGAGUGGAGCUCGAUCUCACAUCACUCUUCCCUCUUCCCCGAGUCCUUUCUAAACUCUCCCCCUGGGUUUCUACCCUCCCGAACCUCUCCCCUUCUACCCUCACAACCCCAACCCUCCCCCCGAUCACAUAUUAGGGUUCGAAUCAGGUGAGUUCGGCUUUGAUGUUCUGUACUUUUCGGCAUUUGUGUUAGUCAGAAGUAACGAAAAGAAAACGCGCCUAGGAGCUAGCUGUGGCUACAUGCUAGCAGGCCGCACAAUGAUGAGCACGCAGUCUGUUCACUGUGAUGUAGCUAAUUUAUUAUUCGCAGCUUUGGUCUGUAGUCUUUAUCGGCUUUUUUUUGUUAAAGUUCUUUCCGUAGUUCGUGGAAUUUGUUAAAGAUCGUUCAUAAACGUGGUUUCACGAAAACUAAAUUCGUCCCAUUAAGCGUUAUAGUAUUAGCAAAUAAAGCUAACUAGCUUUGCUAACAAUCGCACACAUGCUCCAUUCAUUUUCAGGGCAACCUCUAUGCUAAAAAAGGCUAACAGACCGCCAGAAAGAUCGAACUAUUUAAGUGACACAAGAGCACAAACUUUGCAAAGAGGGAAGAGCUGAUUAUUGUUUUAUUUAAACCAUCUAAUCGUGUUGCUGACUUAAAAGAAACUUGCUUCAAAGAUAAUGAGAGCGUCAUAUAAUAAUAGACACGACCAUAUGUUCUUAUGCCAUAGUAGUUCAACGCUGAAUCACUUUUUUUAGUCUUUUGUUAUUUUUUCCUAAUAGAGACGUAUUUAAUUAAAGACUGAACUGCCUGUAGUUAAUGAAAUCGUAUUUUUAUUGUCACGGUUUAAGACCCAACUUUUGCAUUAGCCGUACUGUAACACAGGUGAUUGUACUACUAGAUAACCAGUUAUUUUACACUGCAUCAUACUUUACCCUUUUAAGAGGAAAAACUUUCACUCUGCUUCUUAUUUUUUUUUAGUAAAAAUUAUUUUGCACAUCAUAGUACUUGUUAUUUAUUAGUAACUAUAAUUACUAUUAACCCAUGUCAUAUUUAUGCAUAGAUAGAUGCCAUUUUGGCUCAGUAUACAUCUGUGGUUGUGCUACUUAUUUUGUGUGACAACCUGCUUUAGGCUGAGGACAGCCAUCUUCUACAAUUUUAGCUAUAUGGGUACUUUAUUGACUGCAUAGUAUUGCAAAACCUUAAGUUUCACGUUUUGUUGCUUUUUAAGGCUGAUUUUGUUGUUCAGACACCUCUGUCUGGAGGAUCAUUGCGCUGGGAGCAGAUAUUUCUCAGGUUGAUUGAAAAUAUGACCGUAGAAUGU